AAAAAACAACAACAAAAAAAGAAAAAGGGGUGAGAUCUGAGAAGAGGAAGCGGUAGAGAGAGAAAAAGAAGGAACGGCCGGCAGAGAGAAGAAAGGAGAGAGCUUGACGCCGGCAACGGAAGGCGAAGUGAUUCGCCGGGUAAGAGAGAAAUCCGAGAAGAGAGGGGAGGACGCCGGCGCCGGCGAAGAGAGAAGAAAAAGAUUUUUAGAGAGAAGGGAGAGG
rnacentral:lncRNA from 1 species